rnacentral:rRNA from 1 species
CAGCCGCCGCGGGAAUACGAAGGGGGCUAGCGUUGCUCGGAAUCACUGGGCGUAAAGGGUGCGUAGGCGGGUCUUUAAGUCAGGGGUGAAAUCCUGGAGCUCAACUCCAGAACUGCCUUUGAUACUGGAGAUCUUGAGUUCGGGAGAGGUGAGUGGAACUGCGAGUGUAGAGGUGAAACUCGUAGAUAUUCGCAAGAACACCAGUGGCGAAGGCGGCUCACUGGCCCGAUACUGACGCUGAGGCACGAAAGCGUGGGGAGCAAACAGGAUUAGAUACCCCCGUAGUCCCUGUCUCUUAUAC